ACGAACGCUGGCGGCGCGCCUAACACAUGCAAGUCGAACGGGGUUAUACGGGAUGAAGUUUUCGGAUGGAAUUCUAUAUAACCUAGUGGCGGACGGGUGAGUAACACGUGAGCAACCUGCCUAUCAGAGGGGGAUAACGAUUGGAAACGAUCGCUAAUACCGCAUGACAUAGCGAAACCGCAUGGUUUUGCUAUCAAAGAUUUAUCGCUGAUAGAUGGGCUCGCGUCCGAUUAGAUAGUUGGCGGGGUAACGGCCCACCAAGUCGACGAUCGGUAGCCGGACUGAGAGGUUGAACGGCCACAUUGGGACUGAGACACGGCCCAGACUCCUACGGGAGGCAGCAGUGAGGAAUAUUGGUCAAUGGGCGAGAGCCUGAACCAGCCAAGUCGCGUGAAGGACUACGGCCCUAUGGGUCUUAAAC
rnacentral:rRNA from 1 species